rnacentral:rRNA from 1 species
UACAGAGGGGGCAAGCGUUGUUCGGAAUUACUGGGCGUAAAGGGCGCGUAGGCGGCCUUCUAAGUCGAACGUGAAAUCCCCGGGCUCAACCCGGGAACUGCGUCCGAUACUGGAAGGCUUGAAUCCGGGAGAGGGAUGUGGAAUUCCAGGUGUAGCGGUGAAAUGCGUAGAUAUCUGGAGGAACACCGGUGGCGAAGGCGACAUCUUGGACCGGUAUUGACGCUGAGGCGCGAAAGCCAGGGGAGCAAACGGG